rnacentral:lncRNA from 1 species
UUUUAAAGGAAUUGUAUGGAUUGGGGGCACGAAGAAUAGCUGUUUUCGGUGCACCUCCGUUAGGGUGCCUGCCAUCACAGAAAAGCAUAGCAGGAGGGAUAGAAAGAGAGUGUGUAGAGAAUUACAAUGAAGCAUGCAAGUUAUUCAACACUAAGCUCUCAUCUGGAUUGGAUUCUCUCAACACCAACUUUCCCCUUGCAAAGUUUGUGUAUAUUGAUAUUUAUAACCCCUUGCUUGAUAUCAUCCAAAACCCUCAAAAAUCAGGUAAUACCUCUUGUUUUGUUUUGUUCUGUUUUUGGGUUUUCUUUCAUGGGUAUUCCCCUAAAUUGUUUCAGGAUUUGAAGUAGCGAAUAAAGGAUGCUGUGGCACGGGGUUAAUAGAGGUUGCAUUGCUAUGUAACCGAUUGAAUCCGUUUACUUGUAAUGAUGUGACCAAGUAUGUAUUUUGGGACAGUUAUCAUCCUACAGAACGAGUGUACAAGAUUCUAAUAGGUAGGAUCAUCCAGGAAUACGUGGGCAGCUUCCUCUGAUCAAACUCAGCUCGCUGAUUUAUGUCCUACCCACAGCCCAUAUGGCAUGCUCCAUCCUCUGCCCUGAUUGUUUGUAAUGGUGAAAUUGAAUGUUAUCCUCUUGUUUUUUUUCUUUUUAUUUGGUAAUAACAGUUUGAUAUGAUUUUCAAACUGUAUCAAAUCCCAAUACAGCAUAUUCAAACACCUAAAGCAAUUUCCUUGGAGGAAAACCAAAUGGAAGGUGUUGUAAUGGAAGGGUUCCCUCUGACUGGAUUGCUACCUGUAAUUUCUCACAAGUUGCAUAUUUUCAAAUAAUGAUGCUUCAUAAAUUCAUAAGUCACUAUUACCAAGUAUUUUUUAUCCUACCUGCACUGGAAAUCACAUAAUUUAUGAGAAAAAUGAUUUAAUUUUUGCUAUCCCAAACGGAUCUCUAAUAGACCUAAUAUCUCAAAAUGCCUGUUAGGUUAAAUCAACUGUAUUUGUAAUGUUUCUCCCAUUUGAAGUGGCAACAAAGGAAGCAAAAAUGGUAAUUCCUCAGUUGGGUUUGAUUUGAAUCAGAAACAAAUCAUGGUUAAGCAUAUAUACUCAAAUUUCAUCUUGGAUUGGAAUAAAUUGUUGACAAUUUGAAACUUUUGAUGAAUGGCUCCAAAUUUGAAGCCCUAUGGCAUUGUUGGAAUAAAUUAAUUAGCUCUAUUUUAGAAGAAAUUUUGAAUUAGGGUAAAGAUUUGUGAUAAAAAAAAUUGAGUGGUCCUUCUUAUAUUGUCAAGUUUGAUCAGAGGCAAUUAAAAAAAGAUAGUUAUGUUUAUUUAUCAAGUUCAUCUACAUUUUUUUUGUUGGCACACCGAUAUGUGUAUACUUUCAAGUCUCAUUAUUUAUAUUUUAGUGUCAUAUGAUGUCAUGUAUCCUUAGUUAACGAUUUAAAUCCCAUCAUAUAUAUUCAAUAGUUUGAAUUUCAUCAUAUAUAUUCAAUAGUUUGAAUUUGGGUUUCGAUAAAUACUACUUGAUAGCUUAGCCUUUUGCUUAUUUACCACUUUCCCUUACCCUCAUUUUAAUUUUAUCCCACAAUAAUUGGAAUUAUCAAACAUUAUAAAAUUUUCGAUAAUAAAAUAGUUAAGCAAUGCUUGAUCCCCUUGAAAACAAAUUUUAGGUAAUUAAAAAUGUUUUGCUUGAGUGGAAGGCUUAUUUGCAAUUUUAAUUUUGUAGCAAGAGCUGGUAAAAAAUUUAAUAGGCCACAAGAAGCAAUUUGCAAGUCAUCAUUUAAACCAAAUGAACUAAGGGAAAAUUGUGUUUUCAACUCAUAUAGGCUUGAUAAUUAAGGUAAAGUCCUCCGACCACCCUUAAUUGAUUACAAGGAUAUGAGAUAGUAAUUGACAAAAAUACCCAUUUGACUUAUUUUUGUCUUUAUUCUACCACUCUUCACAUGCUACUAUUCUUUCUUAUUUAAUCAUUUUUAGAUUUUUCAUUAUUUGUUUAAACUAUUUUAUAAAUAAUUGAAAAAUCAACAUUAUUUUUUAUUUUUAAAUUAUAAAUAAAAAAAAUUAUAUUAAUGAUUCAAAGACUAUUUUGGAAAAUACUUUCUAAAAAAAUAUUAAUUUAAAUAAAUAAAAAUUAUUUUUUAGAUUUAUUUUUAUCUUUUACAUUUUAGAAGUAAAUAAUUUAAUGAUUAAAGCACUGUUUAAAAUAAAUAUAUUCACUAUUUUAAUUUUAUACUAAAAAGUAUUUUAAAGUUUUUUUUUACUAUUAUAAAAUAAAAAGUUUAAUUUUUUUUAAUCUUCUUCCUUCUUUAUUUUAAUAACUUUUUAAACAUGACUUUUAGUAAUAAGUUAUAUGAAAUGUUACAAAUUUGUUUACUAAGGAUUUUUUUUAAUAAUUUGAAUUAAUUGAAAAUUUAUUAAAAUAAGAAAAAGAAAAAGAAAGAAAGAGGAUAGAUAAAGAGUUUUUAUUUUAAGUACUCAAUUAAAAUGCUUUCAUAUGACCUAAUUUUAGAAGUGUAUUAUAUCAAUAGAUAGUAGAGAUUGAAUUUUUCUUAUAUAAAAAUGUUGAAAGAUAUAUUUACUUAUUUUAAAUGAAAACAAGUAGUUAAAAAUUAUAUAGAUUAUAUUUGAGUUUGGUUUUAAAAUAUUUUUCUAGUUUUUAUUUUUUAUUUUUUAUUUUUAUUUUUAAAAUAAUUUUUAUUUUCUAUAUUGUCUCUUUUUGAAAAUAUGUUUAAUUUAAAAAUGAAAACAAUUUUUAAAAAUGAAAAUUGAAAACCUUGUUUAGUACUAUUUUUUAUAUGAAAAAAAAAUCAUUUAUUCAUUUAUUGCGUCGUUGUACAAUUGUAUUACACUAAUUGUACAAGGGAAAUGUAGUAAGUGUACAAAGGUGUACAAGGCUAUCCUUUGCGAAAUAUUACAAUCGAUUAUGAGUCAUUAUUUUAUUUUUCUUAUCACUCACGAAUUGUACAUAUAUAUCAUGCAUUUUAUUUAAUUUCCACACGGAAAUUUCAAUACUUUCCUUAAUAAUGAUAUAUGGGGAAAUUUUUUUUGACCUUAAGUCAUCCACCAUCUUCUCAACUAAACCAUUGGAAAUAUGGUUAAAUAUUCUUACGUGGACAUAUAACUUAGAAGAGAUAUAAAAUUUGUGUCAUUGUAUAAGGGUAUUAUACUAACUAUACAAGAAAAAUAUACUAAUUGUACAAAGGUGUACAAGAUUAUCCUUUGUGAAUGAUUUCAAUCAAUUCUAAAUCACUUUUUUAUUUUCCUUGUCACCCAAGGAUUGUACACCUAUAUCAUGCACUUUAUUUAACUCUCAGAUGAAAAUUUCAAUAUUUUCCUCAAUAAUGAUAUUUGGGGAAAAAAAAAUUGACCAUAAGUCAUUCACCAUUUUGUUAACCAAACCAUUGAAAAUAUGAUUAAUACACCUAUAUGGACAUAUAACUUAGGAGAUAUAUGAAAUUUGUGUCAUUGUACAAGGGUAUUACACUAACUGUACAAGGAAAAAUGUGCCAAGUGUACAAGGGUGUACAAAGCUCCUAAUAAGUUUUGUCCGAUUUUUAAACAAUUUGAGUUUGACAUUAAGACGAUUAUUGAUAGUUUUUUUUUUUUUUUUUUACCAAACUAUGUCAUUAAGACAUUCCCUACAAAAAUUAACACAAAGGAAAUAAAAUUAAAAUCAAUCAUAUUUGAAUUGUUCAUUAUAAGUAAACUAAAUGAAAUAUAUAUUUUUACUAUUUUGCAUUUAUAAACAUAAUUUCAUUGUUAUCAAUAGAGAUUAAAAAAAUCAUAUUUAAAUGGAAUUAAAAAUAAACAAAAAUUAUUUUUAUAUCAUUUUUAUUUUUUAAAAUCAUUAAUUUAAAUUAUGAAAUUAGUUUUAAAAUUUAAAAUAUUUGUUGUAAUUAUAAUUUUGAAGAUUUCAUGAUUUUUAUCUUAUUACUUUGAAAAAAUUGCUUUAAUAAGAAAAUAUUUAUUUUAAUGGUUUUAAAUAUUUAAAUCUUUAUUAAAAAAUAUUUAGGAAUAGUGUGGAAACAAUUAGAUAAUUUUGGAAUGGAGAAAUUUUGAAUAUUUUGAAGACUUUAAUUUGGCCAAUUACCCUAUAUAUAUAUUGUGAGUGUUUACAUUAUUUUUGAAAUAAUAUGAGAAAUAAUAAAUACCAUAUGUCUAAUUUGCAAGUUAGAAAAAAAAAUUAAUAAUAUUUUAUGAGGUAUUUAAAAAGUAUUUAUUAUAUGUUCUAUAAAUUUGAAAAAAAAAUAAUAUUUGAUGAUAUAUAAUUUACAAGUUAAAACAAACAAAUAAUACUAAUAUUUUAUGAGGUGUUUAAAAAUUAUUUAAUAUAUAUGAGAAAUAAUAAAAGUUUGAAAUAAAGAAUAAUAUUUAUUAUAUAUUAUGUAAGUUGAAAAAAAGAAUAAUAUUUGAUGAGGUAUAUAAAAGUUAUUCAUUUCAAAAAUGCAUUUGGCAAUAAUAAUUUUUAACAAUAUUUUAUAUUCAAUUUGAUGAAAAAUGAUUCAACUUGGUUCCACUAUUAAAUAGGUGAGAGAAGGGUAAAAAAGUCAAAGAGAUAAUGAGAAAAGUGAGGUGAUUGAUUAGUUUUUUAUAUUUAAUAAUCAAAGGUAUUUUAGAGAUUUUUUAAAAAAAUAAUAUCCUUCCACUCAAUUUCCACUCUUUCGUUAGCUUUUGGGAUUAAUUACGAGUGAGUACCUUACCUCAAUUACCCAACCUAACUUAGUUGAAACCAUAAUUCUCCCACUGUACAAGGAAAAAUGUGCCAAGUGUACAAGGGUGUACAAAACUCCUAAUAAGUUUUGUCCGAUUUUUAAACAAUUUGAGUUUGACAUUAAGACGAUUAUUGAUAGUUUUUUUUUUUUUUUUUUACCAAAUUAUGUCAUUAAGACAUUCCCUACAAAAAUUAACACAAAGGAAAUAAAAUUAAAAUCAAUCAUAUUUGAAUUGUUCAUUAUAAGUAAACUAAAUGAAAUAUGUAUUUUUACUAUUUUGCAUUUAUAAACAUAAUUUCAUUGUUAUCAAUAGAGAUUAAAAAAAUCAUAUUUAAAUGGAAUUAAAAAUAAACAAAAAUUAUUUUUAUAUCAUUUUUAUUUUUUAAAAUCAUUAAUUUAAAUUAUGAAAUUAGUUUUAAAAUUUAAAAUAUUUGUUGUAAUUAUAAUUUUGAAGAUUUCAUGAUUUUUAUCUUAUUACUUUGAAAAAAUUGCUUUAAUAAGAAAAUAUUUAUUUUAAUGGUUUUAAAUAUUUAAAUCUUUAUUAAAAAAUAUUUAGGAAUAGUGUGGAAACAAUUAGAUAAUUUUGGAAUGGAGAAAUUUUGAAUAUUUUGAAGACUUUAAUUUGGCCAAUUACCCUAUAUAUAUAUUGUGAGUGUUUACAUUAUUUUUGAAAUAAUAUGAGAAAUAAUAAAUACCAUAUGUCUAAUUUGCAAGUUAGAAAAAAAAAUUAAUAAUAUUUUAUGAGGUAUUUAUAAAGUAUUUAUUAUAUGUUCUAUAAAUUUGAAAAAAAAAUAAUAUUUGAUGAUAUAUAAUUUACAAGUUAAAACAAACAAAUAAUACUAAUAUUUUAUGAGGUGUUUAAAAAUUAUUUAAUAUAUAUGAGAAAUAAUAAAAGUUUGAAAUAAAGAAUAAUAUUUAUUAUAUAUUAUGUAAGUUGAAAAAAAGAAUAAUAUUUGAUGAGGUAUAUAAAAGUUAUUUAUUUUAAAAAUGCAUUUGGCAAUAAUAAUUUUUAACCAUAUUUCAUAUUCAAUUUGAUGAAAAAUGAUUCAACUUGGUUCCACUAUUAAAUAGAUGAGAGAAGGGUAAAAGAGUAAAAAAGAGAAUGAAAAAAGUGAGGUAAUUGGUUAGUUUUUUAUCUUUAAUAAUUAAGGGCAUUUUAGGAAUUUUUUUAAAGAUAAUAUUCUUCUCUCAAUUUCUACUUUUUCAUUAGCUUUUGGGUUUAAAUACGAGUGAUAAAGAGGACCAUUACCCAACCUAACUUGGUUGAAAGCAUAAUUCUCCCAUGAACCAAACCCAUUACGUCUUACAACACCUCAUAGCUGCAGGGGUGCAGGGCUCUUAAAUUUUGCUGUCCGUUCCGUACAAUUGGUUCAUUGCGGUUCACUUGGCUUGAAGUGUUUGACCAAUUUGAUGUUUAUCAAAGAUUCAGAGUUUCAGCCCCCCUCUUCUGUUCAGUUGAGUACUGAAAUGACUAUUCCACCAACUCGAUGUGUUUUUUUUUUUUUUUUUUUAGAACAGCGUGUGAAGCUUUAAGCAACCUGUCUGUCUGGCGGUAGGAAAUAAAACUUAAUUUAGGUGGCUUGAUUAAAUCAUGGUGGAUUUUGAGAGAGAUCAUACAUGUGGAGACUGGGGUGGUCACCGGACUGAAGAGCCCUGAUCGCUGCAGCUCACUGACAAGAAUUAAAGAUCGGUAGUCACCUUACAACAAGAGUCCCCCAUGUCACAUGAAUUGUCACACCUGCCCUAUAUAUGUAUAUAAAUAUAUGGCUUAGACAGGCUUCCGAACAGAGGGUUGAAAAUGCUUUCAUAUUCUUCUUCCGUCAUUCCAUUCUUUGUUUCCGUUUUUAUCAGUUUAUGCAGCACAGGAGCCCUGGUAAAGCUACCGGAGAAUGGAACAAUUCCGGCUGUGAUAGUUUUCGGGGAUUCGAUCGUGGACGCAGGCAAUAACAACAAUCUUGUUACUGUGGCUAAGUCCAAUUAUCCACCCUAUGGGAGGGACUUCAGUGGAGGAAUACCAACUGGAAGAUUUAGCAAUGGCAAAAUUCCCUCCGACAUCAUUGGUUGUAACUCCCAUUCUUCUACUCUUUCCAGCAUUAUGCAUGCCCUCUUUUCUUUUCCUAUAGCUCAAAUACCUCUUUACUUUAUACCAUGUUGUCUUCGUAGGGUCUUCCAACGCACCCGAUGGACCUACUGGGUCCCCAAAGACAACGGAAACCUAGUUUACACUUCUAUCCCAUUUAUUCUAUAUUGAAAAAAAACAAAGUUCCCAAAUGUUGUAAAAAAAAAAAAAAACUCAAUUUUCACAGAUAAUUCUUGAAUGAUAAUACGUUCCUUUCCUUCUGGAUUAUUUAUUGUUGGAGAAAUUAACUAGUGUUUUCUCUCAAAUUGAGCUUCAGCUGAACUAUUGGGAAUCAAAAAGCUGUUGCCGGCAUAUUUAGACCCAACUCUUCAACCUAGUGAUCUCCUCACUGGAGUAAGCUUCGCUUCAGGCGCUUCGGGAUAUGACCCUCUAACAUCUAAGAUUCCGGUACAUAAAUUUUCCUUCAAAGAAGAUAUUGACCAUUUCUUUAACCUUAUAUUUCUAUUCAAUUUUGUUUUCAUUUUUGUGUAAAAUCAGUCAGUUUUUUCACUGUCGGAUCAAUUAGAAAUGUUCAAGGAGUACAUAGGAAAGCUGAAAGCCAUGGUUGGAGAAGAAAGAACAAACACCAUUCUAAGCAAAAGCUUGUUUUUAGUGGUACACAGUAGUAAUGACAUUACCUCUACAUAUUUCACCGUUCGGAAAGAGCAGUAUGAUUUUGCUUCUUACGCAGAUAUUCUGGUAACCUUGGCGUCUUCUUUCUUAAAGGUAAUUUCAAUUGCCAUGCUCUUCCAUUUCCAUUUCCAUUUCCUAAUAUUCAAUUAUUUAACAAUUGUCUGGUAUAAAACAAAAUUUAAAGGAACUGUAUGGAUUGGGGGCACGAAGAAUAGCUGUUUUCGGUGCACCUCCGUUAGGGUGCCUGCCAUCACAGAGAAGCUUAGCAGGAGGGAUACAAAGAGAGUGUGCUGAGAAUCUCAACGAAGCAGCCAAGUUAUUCAACACUCAGCUCUCGUCUGAAUUGGAUUCUCUCAACACCAACUUUCCCCUUGCAA